rnacentral:rRNA from 1 species
GAGUGAAGCGGCAAAAGCUCAAAUUUGAAAUCUGGUACCUUCGGUGCCCGAGUUGUAAUUUGGAGAGGGCAACUUUGGGGCCGUUCCUUGUCUAUGUUCCUUGGAACAGGACGUCAUAGAGGGUGAGAAUCCCGUGUGGCGAGGAGUGCGGUUCUUUGUAAAGUGCCUUCGAAGAGUCGAGUUGUUUGGGAAUGCAGCUCUAAGUGGGUGGUAAAUUCCAUCUAAAGCUAAAUAUUGGCGAGAGACCGAUAGCGAACAAGUACAGUGAUGGAAAGAUGAAAAGAACUUUGAAAAGAGAGUGAAAAAGUACGUGAAAUUGUUGAAAGGGAAGGGCAUUUGAUCAGACAUGGUGUUUUGUGCCCUCUGCUCCUUGUGGGUAGGGGAAUCUCGCAUUUCACUGGGCCAGCAUCAGUUUUGGUGGCAGGAUAAAUCCAUAGGAAUGUAGCUUGCCUCGGUAAGUAUUAUAGCCUGUGGGAAUACUGCCAGCUGGGACUGAGGACUGCGACGUAAGUCAAGGAUGCUGGCAUAAUGGUU